CCUACGGGGGGCUGCAGUGAGGAAUAUUGGUCAAUGGGCGGAAGCCUGAACCAGCCAAGUAGCGUGCAGGAUGACGGCCCUAUGGGUUGUAAACUGCUUUUAUACAGGAAUAAAGUUAGCCACGUGUGGUUAUUUGUAGGUACUGUAUGAAUAAGGACCGGCUAAUUCCGUGCCAGCAGCCGCGGUAAUACGGAAGGUCCAGGCGUUAUCCGGAUUUAUUGGGUUUAAAGGGAGCGUAGGCCGUCUGUUAAGCGUGUUGUGAAAUGUAGAUGCUCAACAUCUGAAUUGCAGCGCGAACUGGCAGACUUGAGUGUGCGCAACGUAGGCGGAAUUCGUGGUGUAGCGGUGAAAUGCUUAGAUAUCACGAAGAACUCCGAUUGCGAAGGCAGCUUACGGGAGCACAACUGACGCUGAAGCUCGAAAGUGCGGGUAUCGAAC
rnacentral:rRNA from 1 species